GGGUCAGGAGGUUGGUCGUGCCACCGGUACGUACUGGUCUCACUGAUUCCUCCUUCCUGAAGAACCGUAAUGCCAUUAAUUUGGUGUUGCGGGGAAACAGGACUGUUACUUUGAAAAAAUUAGAGUGUUUAAGGCAAGCUAACGCUUGAAUACAUUAGCAUGGAAUAAUGAAAUAGGACGAUCGAUCCUAUUUUGUUGGUUUCUAGGAUUGACGUA
rnacentral:rRNA from 1 species